rnacentral:rRNA from 1 species
UUGACCUCGGAUCAGGUAGGGAUACCCGCUGAACUUAAGCAUAUCAAUAAGCGGAGGAAAAGAAACCAACAGGGAUUGCCCUAGUAACGGCGAGUGAAGCGGCAACAGCUCAAAUUUGAAAGCUGGCCUUCGGGUCCGCAUUGUAAUUUGUAGAGGAUGCUUUGGGUGAAACGCCAGUCUAAGUUCCUUGGAACAGGACGUCAUAGAGGGUGAGAAUCCCGUAUGUGACUGGAAAUGU